GAACUUCCUUAUAUCCAAUGCAGAUCUCUCCUCUUUCAGUUUGAAACCAUUCCCCCCCGUCCUAUCGCCCUGCUAAUGAGUCUGUUCCCUUUCUUACAGCUCUUUCAGACACUGACAGACCCGUAGGUCUCCCGGCAGCCUUCCCUUCUCCAGCUCUCAGCCUGGCCUCGCACAGAGGUGUUCCAUCCCCGGGACAUUUUUGUGGCCUUUCUCUGGACACUCUCCAACAGCUCCACGUCUCUCCCGUCCUGAGGACUCCCCAUCUGGGCGCAGUGCUGCAGUAUUACAAGAGUUGCAGCUGAGAGGCUCCUAGAAAGCUCUUGUGUCUUCUGUGAGAUGAGUUCAUGUGCUCGACUGCGAUCCAGACCCUGAAGGACACGGUAAAUAUGGACAUUGAUCUCUGACAUGACAGCCUCCUCCUUUCAGCUGUAGGGUGUUCUUUAUCUUACGUUUAUGAUGCAUGUCAGCAUUGUCUUCUGCCAGUUCCAUGGUACUGUUUGUUUUCAAAUAUGAAUUCCUGAAGCACUCUAUCAAUAUUUACUGGCAUUAAGAAUGGUGUGAUAUUGCACGGUGUGCCUUUUUGAAUUAGUCUAUAGAAUAGGCAAAAAAUAGCCUAUUGCAGCUUUUUGUAUUAGCUUAUAAUUAGCCUAUGAUAGGCUGGAGCAAUGGGCUGAAUGUGUAUGAGGAUCACCAAGGCUAAGUGUCAGGUCCUGCACUUGGGUCACGCCAAGCCCACACCGUGCUGCAGGAUGGUGGAAGAGUGGCUGGAAAUUGCCCAACAGAAAAGGACUUAGGGGAGACCUCAUCGCUCCCUGAAAGGAGGUUGUGGUGAGGGGGGUUGUGUGCUCCUGGGUUACAGUGAUGAGAAGCGAUGGCCUUAAGUUGUGCCAGGGGAGGUUUCUGUUAGCUGUCAGGAGGAAUUUCUUCAUGAAAAAGAAGAAUUGGAAGAGCCCAGGGGAGUAGUUGAACCACUGUCCCUGGAGGUAUUUAAAAGAUGUGCAGACGUGGGACAUGGCUUAGUGGUAGACUAGGCAGUGCCAGGUUAAUGAUUGGACUCGAUGAUCUUUGAGGUUUUGUCCAACAUAAACGAUUCUAUGAUUCUGUAAUAGAAUCAAAGAAAGGGUUCAGUUCACUUCCUGUCCAAUUUAACAGUGUCUUAUGAAAGCUUGAAGAACAGUAAUGGAUCAUCUUUCUGUGCUAUGAUAUUUUGCCAUUCUGUUCAACAUCAGAAGUCUUAGAUUAAGAGUAGACUUGACAGAAGAAGUACAAAAGCAUAAUUGAUCCAGAUGAGGCCAUGGGAGCAGACCAAUUGAUCCAGAUGAGGCCAUGGGAGCAGACCAGCUCAGAGGACCCAUCAGGACCGUUAUCUAUGGUUUUAUGAUUCAUGGAAGUCCUCACAUUGGGCAGAUGAACCAGCAGGAGAAAUGCUGUGGAGACACCUUGGGAAUUUGCCUUGGCUUUGGGUACUGCUGCCAACUCAGCUCUGUGCAGGAAAUGCCAACCCACUACAUCAACGACCAAAAUAUACUCUUCUGGGAAGUUUGCUUUUAAACAAUGUCACUCCCCAGAUAUUGAAGGACAAAGUUCACCAUUUCAGCUGUUGAAGUAAUUCAACAGUUUUUAUAUUGGGCAUAAAACCAUCUGCUACUUAUUAGGUAACAGAUUUGAUCCGGAGUCUUUUGCUUUCCAGCUGUGCUCUGAGUACUGGACUGAAUUGCCCAGGUCUGCUUCUCUUUUCCUCCUUCCCCACUUGAUUUCUAUAUGUAUGAAGACAAAAUGUUCUAGCUAGGAACUAUCACAGGGCUGGGGAAAAUUGAGCAGCUCAUCAUUGUCCUGCAGUUAUAAGAAGGGUGGUGGAUAGGGGGUUUCCAGCUGUCCUUCUGAAUGUUGGAAAGAAACAAGGGACUCUUUGGAAAGGACACCUUGACAGAGGGCUGGCUCAGAACAUUGGUAUGGAAGCAGAGAAAAUACCUCUCAAUACAGAGGGAUUAGAUGAACAGGAAGCUUCUUGCAGGAUUCCUUAGGACAUGAGUUUCCAAAUAUCCCAUUUUUCCAUUUGCUCACUGGUCUUUAAUCCAUUUAAACUCUCAUCUCCAGGACUGUUAGCAAUAAUGAAGGAAUCUCAACCCACUGACCACUUAGAACCAACUAUAAAUGUAAGGCAGGGUAGUAAUAUUUGUUAGAGCUCCUACAUAGCAGACAUAGACUAUGACAUCCCCUCCUCAUCACUGUAUGCAGUUUCUUCCUUAUACUUCACAUCCACCCCAACAACUUUAAUAUCAAAGAAAGUUUUUCUUGAUAUUUCACUUAAUUCUUUCCAAAUUCCCUGAUUUCUUGUCUUACCUCUAUGAGUAUGGAGAACAGAUUAUUUACUACUUCUGGCCAGUUGUCUUUUCCCUAUCUGAAGUCUUCAGUUUUCACUCACAUCUUUCAUCCCCAAAGGCUCACAGUAUCCACACAUCACUUGAAAUCUCUCAAUUCUCACAAAGGCUGAAAAAAAAACCAGUUUUUUCCUGGCUCAGUCUUAAGCACAUAUUGCUUCCAAAGGGAGUCUGAGUGCCCAGGAAUUAUACACAGCAACGUUCAGCUGUUUUUGCUGAAUUUACCUUGAUUUUCUAUGGCUAUGAUAUAAAAUUACCAGAACCAAGGACUGGUUCUUCUGGCUCCAUUCUGAGGUCCCAAUCAUUCCACACUGACACUGAACAUAUUUUGUUUCAUUUUGGGCAUACAA